GGCUCAGAUUGAACGCUGGCGGAAUGCUUUACACAUGCAAGUCGAACGGUAGAGGGGGCAACCCCUUGAGAGUGGCGAACGGGUGAGUAAUAUAUCGGAACGUGCCCAGUCGUGGGGGAUAACGCAGCGAAAGCUGCGCUAAUACCGCAUACGAUCUAUGGAUGAAAGCGGGGGACCGUAAGGCCUCGCGCGAUUGGAGCGGCCGAUAUCAGAUUAGGUAGUUGGUGGGGUAAAGGCUCACCAAGCCAACGAUCUGUAGCUGGUCUGAGAGGACGACCAGCCACACUGGGACUGAGACACGGCCCAGACUCCUACGGGAGGCAGCAGUGGGGAAUUUUGGACAAUGGGCGCAAGCCUGAUCCAGCAAUGCCGCGUGCAGGAUGAAGGCCUUCGGGUUGUAAACUGCUUUUGUACGGAACGAAACGGUGAGCUCUAAUACAGUUUGCUAAUGACGGUACCGUAAGAAUAAGCACCGGCUAACUACGUG
rnacentral:rRNA from 1 species